rnacentral:rRNA from 1 species
AUUAGCUAGUUGGGAGGGUAAUGGCCUACCAAGGCGACGAUCAGUAGCUGGUUUGAGAGGAUGAUCAGCCACAAUGGGACUGAGACACGGCCCAUACUCCUACGGGAGGCAGCAGUAGGGAAUUUUGCGCAAUGGGGGAAACCCUGACGCAGCAACGCCGCGUGAACGAGACGCCCUUCGGGGUGUAAAGUUUUGUCAGUGGGGACGAAAAAUGACGGUACCCACAGAGGAAGCACCGGCUAACUCCGUGCCAGCAGCCGCGGUAAUACGGAGGGUGCAAGCGUUGUCCGGAAUCAUUGGGCGUAAAGAGUUCGUAGGCGGCAUGUAAAGUCUGGUGUUAAAGGCUGAGGCUCAACCUCAGUAAGGCACUGGAUACUUGCAAGCUAGAAUGCGGUAGAGGUAAAGGGAAUUCCUGGUGUAGCGGUGAAAUGCUUAGAUAUCAGGAGGAACAUCGGUGGCGUAAGCGCUUUACUGGGCCGUGAUUGACGCUGAGGAACGAAAGCCGGGGUAGCAAAUGGGAUUAGAUACCCCAGUAGUCCCGGCUGU